CUCUGAUCUCUGUUUACACAAAAGCUUUGUAUGGUUCCUUCUCCAAACGCUGCCUCUCGGUCGACCUCUGAGUUCCAAGAUUUAGCCCUAUUCUCUAGCUGAAUUCCUUUUGUAAAGCUUGCGGGUCCUCCUCUGUGUCGAAGAACCUGGUGAAGCAGUCUGCUACUCUAUAAGGCCUUUCUCUUUGGUGAUUGAAGAAGGGUGGAAUAUCCCAUUCCAGCAAUGGCUGCUCAAUCCCUCUGGAGAUUGUUUCUCAGAGUUCCAAGCUCAAGCCCAAGCUUGACAGCAGUAGCAACAGCAAGAAGAAAAUUUGGAAUGAGCUGUCGUAUGUUAUUCAGCAGUGAAAACAGCAGCAGUGGCAGUGGAAGCAGAGAAUUCCUAGGGUUGUCAGACGAACAGUUGAUGAAACAGUGCGAAAUGAGUACAUUCAAGUCUUCUGGUCCAGGUGGCCAGCACCGCAACAAACGAGAAUCUGCCGUCCGUCUCAAGCACCUCCCGACCGGCAUUAUUGCCCAGGCUGUUGAGGACAGAUCACAGCAUAAAAAUCGAGCAUCAGCCCUAGCUCGCUUGCGUACUCUAUUGGCUCUAAAAGUCAGGAACAGUAUAGAUCUUGAUACAUAUUCACCUCCUCUGGAGCUUCUUCAAAUUCUUCCAGCAAAAUCAACAAUCAGAACAUCAGAUUGUGGUCCACAAAUUGGCCCAAACAAUCCCAAAUUCGCUUUGGGAAUGCUAGCUUUGUUGGAUUUAAUUUUUGCAGUGGAGGGCUCUAUAUCAGAUGCAGCAAAGUUGAUGGGAUUAAGCACCGGGGCUCUAUCACGUUUGAUUCUCUCUGAUGAUUCUCUUCGGAUGGCAGUGAAUGAGCUGAGGACAUCAAAGGGUUUGAAGCCUCUCAAGUAGGAUUGACAGAUUGGGAAUACAUGCUUUGGGUACAAGUUGCUGUUGAUUUAUGUUUUAAUGUCAAUAUUCAUAAGAGUACAGAUGACACAUCACCUGUUCUUCAUGGGAACUGGUUUUGAACCUCAAACAACCAUCCCACCUUCUGCAUAAAAGAUAAUAUGCAGGAAAGGAAGCAAAUCUGCAGGGGAUACCGACCGAUGAUAUGAAUCGCAUCUUCAAGAAUUAGAGGGGACAGAGAUGUUAGCUCUAGGAAUAGCAAAGGAUGGGCAAGUUGGGGCUUUGUCAAAGAGUGUUUGUCCAAGUUGAGGGAGGAGAAUAUUUUACUCCAACCAUCAUCUCCACCACAAUUCCAAAGCAGGGCAUUGGAGGGGACUUUACAACACAUAUCUAAGGUUUAUGAUCAUUAUCUUAAGGUAUAUAUAGAAUAUGAGGGGGCAAGAAUUUUAGAUUGAUACAAGGGGUCUUGACUUGUGUGGAGAUAAUGGGUUUUAUAAU